GUUUCCGUAGUGUAGCGGUUAUCACAUUCGCCUCACACGCGAAAGGUCCCCGGUUCGAUCCCGGGCGGAAACA
rnacentral:tRNA from 2 species